rnacentral:rRNA from 1 species
UACAGAGGGUGCGAGCGUUAAUCGGAAUUACUGGGCGUAAAGCGUGCGUAGACGGUUUUGUAAGUCGGAUGUGAAAUCCCCGGGCUCAACCUGGGAAUUGCAUUCGAGACUGCAGGGCUUGGGUGCGGAAGAGGGAAGCGGAAUUUCCGGUGUAGCGGUGAAAUGCGUAGAUAUCGGAAGGAACAUCAGUGGCGAAAGCGGCUUCCUGGUCCAGCACCGACGUUCAGGCACGAAAGCGUGGGGAGCAAACAGG